rnacentral:rRNA from 1 species
GACGAACCGUCCAAACGUUAUCCGGAAUUACUGGGCGUAAAGCGUUGCGUAGGUGGCAAAGUAAGCAGGGUAUGAAAGCGUGUGGCUCAACCAUACAGCUAUAUCCUGAACUGCUUAGCUAGAGAAUGAGAGAGGUUACUGGAAUUCCAAGUGUAGGAGUGAAAUCCGUAGAUAUUUGGAGGAACACCGAUGGCGUAGGCAGGUAACUGGCUCAUUUCUGACACUAAGGCACGAAAGCGUGGGGAGCAAACGGG